rnacentral:rRNA from 1 species
AGCGAACGCUGGCGGCAGGCUUAACACAUGCAAGUCGAGCGGGCAUCCUUGUGGUGUCAGCGGCAGACGGGUGAGUAACGCGUGGGAACGUGCCCUUCGGUUCGGAAUAACUCAGGGAAACUUGAGCUAAUACCGGAUACGUGCGAGAGCAGAAAGGUUUAUCUGCCGAAGGAUCGGCCCGCGUCUGAUUAGCUAGUUGGUGAGGUUAUGGCUCACCAAGGCGACGAUCAGUAGCUGGUCUGAGAGGAUGAUCAGCCACACUGGGACUGAGACACGGCCCAGACUCCUACGGGAGGCAGCAGUGGGGAAUAUUGGACAAUGGGGGCAACCCUGAUCCAGCCAUGCCGCGUGAGUGAUGACGGCCUUAGGGUUGUAAAGCUCUUUUCUUCGGGACGAUAAUGACGGUACCGGAGAAAUAAGCCCCGGCUAACUUCGUG